rnacentral:rRNA from 1 species
UACGUAGGGUCCGAGCGUUGUUCGGAAUUACUGGGCGUAAAGGGCUCGUAGGUGGCCAACUAAGUCAGACGUGAAAUCCUCGGCUCAACUGAGGAAUGGCACGGGAAACUGCUUGGCUUGAGUUCGGAAGAGGUAAGUGGAAUUGCGAGUGUAGAGGUGAAAUUCGUAGAUAUUCGCAGGAACACCAGUGGCGAAGGCGGACUUACUGGUCCGAUACUGACGCUGAGGUGCGAAAGCGUGGGAGCAACAGGGAUUAAGAU